UACAUGACUAAGAAAGAGCGCAGUAGCGUGUUGUCCCUAUUCAAGAGAGCUAGAGGGUGGUGAAAUCUAGCAUAUACAACAUUAGCGAAAUACACUCUGGAGUUUCUUGACUAACCUCAAGCGUCUAACUAGCGAUAUUUAGUUUUGAGAGGUAUUCUAAUCUUAAAGAUGGAAUACAAUUUGGGUGGUAACACGGUUCAUUCGUCCCUGUA
rfam:Carnobacterium maltaromaticum LMA28 complete genome